UGCAAGUCGAACGAGAACGGGUCUAGCUUGCUAGACUGUCAGCUAAGUGGCGCACGGGUGAGUAAUGUAUAGAUAACAUGCCUCUUAGAGGGGGAUAACAGUUGGAAACGACUGCUAAUACCCUAUACUCCAUACACGCUUAAGCGUGUAUGGGAAAGCUUUUGUGCUAAGAGAUUGGUCUAUAUCGUAUCAGCUUGUUGGUGAGGUAAAGGCUCACCAAGGCUAUGACGCGUAGCUGGUUUGAGAGGAUGAUCAGCCACACUGGUACUGAGACACGGACCAGACUCCUACGGGAGGCAGCAGUGGGGAAUAUUGCACAAUGGGGGAAACCCUGAUGCAGCAACGCCGCGUGGAGGAUGACGCAUUUCGGUGUGUAAACUCCUUUUAUAUGAGAAGAAAAUGACGGUAUCAUAUGAAUAAGCACCGGCUAACUCCGUGCCAGCAGCCGCGGUAAUACGGGGGGUGCAAGCGUUACUCGGAAUCACUGGGCGUAAAGGGUGCGUAGGCGGAAUGAUAAGUCGGGUGUGAAAGCCUAUGGCUUAACCAUAGAACUGCAUCCGAAACUGUCAAUCUAGAGUUCGGAAGAGGCAGAUGGAAUUAGUGGUGUAGGGGUAAAAUCCGUAGAGAUCACUAGGAAUACCAAUUGCGAAGGCGAUCUGCUGGGACGAUACUGACGCUGAGGCACGAAAGCGUGGGGAGCAAACAGGAUUAGAUACCCUGGUAGUCCACGCCCUAAACGAUGGAUGCUAGUUGUUGGGGUGCUAGUCACUU
rnacentral:rRNA from 1 species